CUCAAAAUGAAAGUUGUUUCAAAAAGUAAAUGUUAAAAAAUAUUAGAAAUUCUUUUUAUGUAAUGCAACACUUUAACCUCUUUUUUUUUUUCCUAAAUGAAAUGGUAGUGAAAUUGAUGAGAACUUGAUGCAACACCAAGCACUUUUAUCAGAAUUUCAAUGGAAAUUCCAAGCAAAGCAGGUUGGAUGACAAGCACAUGAACACCGACCUUGGGAAGAGCAACUGUGAGUGUGGGGAAGCUUUUAACACAGAAAAGAACUGUGGAAAAAUGAAGAUAGGUAGCAAAAACUGGAUUCAUGGUGGCCUUCCCAUUGAUAGGAAUUUCUCUGCAUGAGGAUGCCCUAGGAUGCAUGCUGGCAGCUCAGUGCAACACACGGCAGGGGUGUGCACCGCAGGACAUUUCCCCAUGCAAGUCUGUUCUGGAAGGGCAAUAUUUCACCUGAGAGAACAGGCUAAGAGAACAUGCACUUUGCAAGUGCAAAAAGAAGCGUAAGACCCUCUAAAUGUCUGGCCCCAGGCAAUCUGUUUCCUUUCACAGGACCGCUCUUGAAGCAGAUCUGCAAGGACUUAUCGCUUCCAUCUGCGCCACAGAGACAAGGGCACCGUUCUCACCCCAGUUCCACACAGACAUCCCAGAAUUGCCGACAGCCGCUGCGGCCCCAUAGCAAAAUAUUCCUGCAUGUCUCAGCAAGCUUUCCAAGCUGUGCACGCGGGGACGUGCAGCCACACACACGCCCUGUGCAGGUGGCUCCUGGGAACCCAACUGUGAGCUCUCCUUGUUGGGAAAUGGAGAACCUUCCUCCCUUUCAGCAGCUCCUCUACCAAAUUGCACCCCCAAAAAUACAGCUGGGAGAUACACGCAUAUUCAGUUCUGGGGCCUCCAACGCAAGAAGGUUAUGGAGCUGUUGGAGAGGGCUCAGAGGAGGGCUACAAAGAUGAUCAGAGGGCUGGAGCACCUUCCCUAUGGGGACAGGCUAAGAGAACCGGGGCUCUUCAGCCUGGAGAAGAGAAGGCUCCAAGGGGACCUUAUAGCGGCCUUCCAGGACCUGAAGAGGGUCUACAGGAAAGAUGGGGAGGGACUUUUUAUAAGGGCAGGUAGUGACAGGAUGAGGGGAAACAGUUUUAAACUGGAAGUGGGUAGAUUGAGGCUGGAUAUCAGGAUGAAAUUCUUUACUGUGAGGGUGGUGAGACACAGGAACAGGUUGCCCAGUGAAGCUGUGGAUGACCCCUCCCCAGAGGUGUUCAAGCCCAGGUUGGAUGGGGCUGUGAGCAACCUAGUCUAGAGGGAGGUGUUCCUGCUUAUAGCAGGAGAGUUGGAACUAGAUGAUCUUAAAUGUCUCUUUCAACCCAAACUGUUCUAUGAUUCUCUCCAGAUGCAUGUUGGUGGUAGGAUAUAAGUGCUGCACAGCCUCUUCCAGGAGCACCUGGAGAUGCUUCCGGAAGACUCUGCCUGGACACAGUGUGCUGCUUGACCACAUCUGCCUGUUGUAAAACAAAGUACCUAAAGCAAGCCAAAUUCAUGGAAGGCGAAGCACUUAUUUAGUGCAAUUUAGCAGUCACCUGUGCACCUGGGAAAUCUGCUUGGUGCUAAAGGUUUGCCUGAGCCCUGGUUCUGUGAGGAUAAAUGAGGACGUGUGUUGGGCAAGAGCAGCAGGAGGCAGCCAGAUCUGCACUGAGCUAACCUCAUCCCACCCAGUACGCAAGAAAUGUAUCUGUGAAGAACUACUCGUACAACUGUGUUCAUCAGCAAAGGCAGAGCUUUGGUGGAAAACUCCCUCUUUCUCUCAAACAUCGCCACUUCUAUUAGAGGAGGAACGAGUUGGUUUACACUGCAGAUUGAAUGAGGCAUUAAAUGACUGCGUUGCAAUGACUGCAGUGGGGGGAAUGGUCGCCUCUGGUGGAAUUGGAAAGCUGUAAUGACACCUUCAUAAAGGCACAAUAACUGUUCAAGUAUCCUUGUCUAAUUUGUCACAAAAGUUGUCCAGGACUUUUCUCUCCUUUAUUUUUCAGAGGGGGAAAAGGUGAAUAUCAG
ensembl:lncRNA